rnacentral:piRNA from 1 species
UUCAAGAUAGCUGGUCUGAGGGUGGUUCC